rnacentral:rRNA from 1 species
AAUAAUGAGUGCACUUUAUUGUGGCUCUAAAAUUUUCAAUAAAUUUCACCCAUUUUAAACCCAAAGCUGUUAUGUGUACCUCUUUUGGUAUAACAUCUCAGUAGUACGCAUCAUGUGGGAUCUUUUUCUCACAAGUUGCAUUACCCCCCCUUUAUAAGUGACCCACUUUAUCAAUUACUCUAAAAUGUUUUARGAAUGUAAAUGCCCCUUUAAUUAUAUAUAACUUUUAACAAUGGAUCUCUUGGCUCUCACAUCGAUGAAGAACACAGUGGUACACCUGUUUGAGUGUCAUGAAACCCUCUCAUUCCAAUUCUUUAUUUAUUUAAAGGGUUGUGAUAUGGAUGUUGAGUGCUGCCGUUAUUGGCUCGCUUUAAAUAUAUAAGUACUUUUAUCAAACAAUAAAUGGAUUUACUUGGUGUAAUAUUUAUUAUUCAUUGAGGAGUGUGGUUUAAUUACUGCAGCCAUUUGCCUUUUGAUAGAUAGCUUCCGAACCCCAAUUAUUAUGUAUUUAGACCUCAAAUCAGGUGGGACUACCCGCUGAACUUAAGCAUAUCAAUAAGCGGAGGAAAAGAAACUAACAAGGAUUCCCCUAGUAACGGCGAGUGAAGAGGGAAAAGCC